rnacentral:rRNA from 1 species
UACGUAGGUGGCAAGCGUUAUCCGGAUUUACUGGGUGUAAAGGGCGUGUAGGCGGGCAUGCAAGCCAGAAGUGAAAUCUGGGGGCUUAACCCCCAAACUGCUUUUGGAACUGCGUGUCUUGAGUGAUGGAGAGGCAGGCGGAAUUCCCAGUGUAGCGGUGAAAUGCGUAGAUAUUGGGAGGAACACCAGUGGCGAAGGCGGCCGCCUGGCCUGUUGCUGACGCUGAGGCACGAAAGCGUGGGGAGCAAAUAGG